rnacentral:rRNA from 1 species
UACGAAGGGGGCUAGCGUUGUUCGGAAUUACUGGGCGUAAAGCGCACGUAGGCGGACAUUUAAGUCAGGGGUGAAAUCCCAGAGCUCAACUCUGGAACUGCCUUUGAUACUGGAUGUCUGGAGUAUGGAAGAGGUGAGUGGAAUUCCGAGUGUAGAGGUGAAAUUCGUAGAUAUUCGGAGGAACACCAGUGGCGAAGGCGGCUCACUGGUCCAUUACUGACGCUGAGGUGCGAAAGCGUGGGGAGCAAACAGG